GAUGAACGCUAGCGGCAGGCUUAACACAUGCAAGUCGAGGGGCAGCACGUCUUCGGAUGGUGGCGACCGGCGCACGGGUGCGUAACGCGUAUAGAACCUACCUUUUACAGGGGAAUAGCCCAGAGAAAUUUGGAUUAAUGCCCCAUAGUAUUAUUAGAUGGCAUCAUUUGAUAAUUAAACAUUUAUGGGUAAAAGAUGGCUAUGCGUUCUAUUAGCUAGAUGGUAAGGUAACGGCUUACCAUGGCGACGAUAGAUAGGGGUCCUGAGAGGGAGAUCCCCCACACUGGUACUGAGACACGGACCAGACUCCUACGGGAGGCAGCAGUGAGGAAUAUUGGACAAUGGGCGAGAGCCUGAUCCAGCCAUGCCGCGUGCAGGAAGACGGUCCUAUGGAUUGUAAACUGCUUUUAUACAGGAAGAAACACUCCCUCGUGAGGGAAUUUGACGGUACUGUAUGAAUAAGCACCGGCUAACUCCGUGCCAGCAGCCGCGG
rnacentral:rRNA from 1 species